CUGCUGCCAAUUAAGCCGACUGUGGCUCUUUGUCUAUGGGGGCCCGGUGUGCCAUGGCCGCAAACAGUAGCCUCCUCGGUGCUUAUGCAGCCUGUCAAUUGUAUGGGUUUCCGUAAGGGACCUUGGAGACAGCC